GCGGGAUCCCUGAUGCUUGCGGCGGAAGGGUGAGUAACAGGUGGGUAACCUGCCUGUAAGACUGGGAUAACUCCGGGAAACCGGGGCUAAUACCGGAUGGUUGUUUGAACCGCAUGGUUCAAACAUAAAAGGUGGCUUCGGCUACCACUUACAGAUGGACCCGCGGCGCAUUAGCUAGUUGGUGAGGUAACGGCUCACCAAGGCAACGAUGCGUAGCCGACCUGAGAGGGUGAUCGGCCACACUGGGACUGAGACACGGCCCAGACUCCUACGGGAGGCAGCAGUAGGGAAUCUUCCGCAAUGGACGAAAGUCUGACGGAGCAACGCCGCGUGAGUGAUGAAGGUUUUCGGAUCGUAAAGCUCUGUUGUUAGGGAAGAACAAGUACCGUUCGAAUAGGGCGGUACCUUGACGGUACCUAACCAGAAAGCCACGGCUAACUACGUGCCAGCAGCCGCGGUAAUACGUAGGUGGCAAGCGUUGUCCGGAAUUAUUGGGCGUAAAGGGCUCGCAGGCGGUUUCUUAAGUCUGAUGUGAAAGCCCCCGGCUCAACCGGGGAGGGUCAUUGGAAACUGGGGAACUUGAGUGCAGAAGAGGAGAGUGGAAUUCCACGUGUAGCGGUGAAAUGCGUAGAGAUGUGGAGGAACACCAGUGGCGAAGGCGACUCUCUGGUCUGUAACUGACGCUGAGGAGCGAAAGCGUGGGGAGCGAACAGGAUUAGAUACCCUGGUAGUCCACGCCGUAAACGAUGAGU
rnacentral:rRNA from 1 species